rnacentral:scRNA from 3 species
UGAGUUAUCUCAAUUGAUUGUUCACAGUCAGUUACAGAUUGAACUCCUGUUCUACACUUUCCCCCCUUCUCACU